CACGUAGGGGGCAAGCGUUGUCCGGAUUUAUUGGGCGUAAAGAGCUCAUAGGUGGUUCGGUAAGUCGGGUGUUAAACCCCCAGGCUCAACCUGGGGACGCCACUCGAUACUGCUGUGACUAGAGUCCGGUAGGGGAGCGUGGAAUUCCUGGUGUAGCGGUGAAAUGCGCAGAUAUCAGGAGGAACACCAGCGGCGAAGGCGGCGCUCUGGGCCGGUACUGACACUGAGGAGCGAAAGCGUGGGGAGCGAACAGG
rnacentral:rRNA from 1 species